rnacentral:lncRNA from 1 species
AAAAUGUUAUCCUUGAUGAAAUGUUGAGAAGUUACAGUGAUACUCUGGCGUUUACCUGGAAUUAUUUGUUUAUAUUUAGCUUACUUAGGAUGCCCAGGUAGAGGCAACCACUGCCUCCAGCAACUUUUUAAAAUGUUUGCUGUUGAUAACUCUUUGCCAUAAGACAUUCUUUUACUUCAAUCUGAAGCUGGCAAAUUUCUUUAUUCCCUUACUUUACUAAGACAGAUUUUUUUUUAAGAAAGCCCAUUCCAUCCAGCAAUACCAGUUUCCUUAGACACCCUUCCCUUUAUCCCUGAAAGCCCGCGAUGUCGGUACCCGGCACAGCCCUUGCCCUCUUGGACAGGGCAGCCGCAAGCGGCCAUGGUCCCUGCUCAGGGCACUCGCCAGCCCACGCAGGCCCAGCCCGUGGCACACAUUUUAUCUUCUUCAGCCACCGCAUGCUUGGUCCUCUGCACAACUGCUCUUAUCUGGCCCUAGCCCGAGGGGCUCACAGCAGGUAAGACUGCAGUUAAUGCCCAUCGCCGGUUACUCCUCCGCUUCUAUUCAUCAAAACCCGAGAGGCAGCGAGGAGGAGGCAGGAGAUGCCAAGGAAGCCCGGACAACCCAGGGGCAGGAUCGGGCGGUCCCCAGGCAGCAGCUCCAUCCACCUCCCGGCCCGGAGCAACGCCACGAGCGGCCCGCAGCCGCCACCCGGCCUCACGCCCAGCCCCGGCCCGCGGGGCCCGGCCGGCGCCUGCCGCCAUCUGGCGGUGACCGCCAGGCCGCUGCCGGGCUCAGUCUUCAAAGACUGCCUGAAAUUAGGAGUAUCCCUUUACACCGCCAUGCAGAAAUAUACACACACGUUGCUCAGAGAAACCCAGACAUCUGUCAAGACUGCUCAAUUGCUUUUUGCUUUGAAGAUAAAUAGCAUGCUUUUAUGUCCAUGUGCACACUCUUCCGCUACACAGCUUCAGCCCAUCAGAGACACUGAGUCUCUGAAAAACAACCAAAGGGAAGGAGGCCAGCUUUAAUCACUUGUAGCUGAUACAUUGUGUAGCGUAGAGUGACUGGGGAGAAGAAUAGUACGUAGGAGACAAAAGUAUUGUAUUCCUUACAAUUAUCCAUCUUCAAAGGAAAGAAGGACUUUGGCGAUACAAAAAAAAAAAAUAGUAGUGGUGCUGUAGUUAUGCCAUAUUUGCUGCAUCCUGUGUGAAUUAGUUUCAUUCAAGUAUGAACUGUGUUGGUGGUUUUCUAAUUUACAUUAUGCCUCUGAAUGCUUUUCUUUAGUGCCUUUUGAGAAGAACUUACAGUUUUAGACAAAUUGAAUAUUGUUCUCUUUCAUGUACAUCAUCCGGAUCCAGUCAAUGACUUAGCUUUUUAUAGCCCUUUUUAAAUUUCAUCUUAUUUUU